CUUGAGUUAGCUGGAACUCAGGUGGAGAUUAAGAAGGCAGAGCCAAAGAAGCCCAAUGCUGCACCACCCCCUUCUAAGCGUUAUAAUGAUUCCAGGCCUGCAUUUGGUGGUGGAUUUGGUGAUGCAUAUGAUGGAUAUGGAGGCAGUGGCUUUGGUGGUGGUGGUGGUGCUGCUGCUGCUUAUAGGUCUGGUGGAGUCUAUGGAGGUAGAGCUAGCACUUAUGGUGAAUAUAAUGGGGGUGAAUUU
rnacentral:misc_RNA from 1 species